rfam:Pichia sorbitophila strain CBS 7064 chromosome E complete sequence.
GCUCCACUAGCUCAGUAGGCAGAGCGUCAGUCUCAUAGCUCAUCGAUAAGAUGAUCGUGCGAUCUGAAGGUCGACAGUUCGAACCUGCCGUGGAGCA